CAAAAGGCUCUUUUAAGAGCCACCCACAGCCUCACAAAAGAAGCUG
rfam:Ophiophagus hannah scaffold58304.1, whole genome shotgun sequence.